GCGCGGAAAUCGGAAGGUUUGAGGUUCAAUUCCCCAUAGGGGCUCGGAAUUUUUACUUUGUCCCACGCUCAUGGCAAGACGAAAAAAUAACUCUCUCUAUUAUCUUACCGAGCGCAAAACUUACGAUCUCUCUUAUUCUAUUUCGAGACAUUUCAUUGUUCUGAUGCACUCAGUCAUCCGGAUGAAUGCCUUUGAUUAUUUGAUAUAAGGUGAUUGACGUAUUAUGAUCGUCUGUGUUCGCGUGGUCCUCGAAGCAUCCCAUCAUUGCAAAGCAACACAGAAUCGACGCUGUUGGUCGAAUCGAUUUCAAGCGUUAUGUGACAGAUUGUGUUUAUAUCAGGAGAGAAGCUCAAAGCUAAAGGUCUUAUUGGACAAGAAUGAUGGAAUAUCAAGCAGGAUAGAAUCUCUUAAGAAGAAUUCUUAGCCAGAAAAUAGCAGAAAUAAUUUUUAGCUUGUGUCAGUCUCAUGGUUGGUGGAAAUGAGAGAAGGAGAGUGUGUGCAAAGAACAGCAUGGGCUGUGGCAGUUUCCCUGACAACCCCAACAGCUGUUUGUAGCUUACCAGCUCUCUUACUCACCUUCACUACCAAAGGGCCUGAUACAGAAAUUUUUGAAUAAGAUAGUAAAUAUUUCUAAGUUUGUCUGUAUUUAUACCAUUAUUAUCAUCAAGAAACGUGCAUUUCUAUCAUCUGUUUGUACAAGUAGAUAAAAGGGGUAAGUUUCUAAAGAAACUGUGGUGCUACAUCUGUGGAAGAGUAUAACAGGGUAAUUUAGUAUUAUCAACUGAGUUGAUAAUGUAAAUUGGCCACCAUAAAGAGUUUCAAAGCUGAUGUUUCCAGCAUUAGCCCUUUGUAUGAGUGAUUGGCAAAGGGCUAUGCUUUAACGAAGGGCUGCCACUCAAAACAUCAGCUUUUAAACUCUUUACAUUGGCCUGUUUGUAUAAGUAAUCCACUUUGUUUGUAAAUAUGCUUAGGAAAAGAAAACUGUACAGGAACAAAUAUAGAGGGCUUCAAAAUCCUCUCGUCUCUGCUUA